AAAAAAUACAGUUUUGCACUAUUCAUCUUCAACAUUUGACCGUUCGUUUUAUUUGAAAAAAUUUUAUGAUUACUAUUUUUAUUGCUAUUAGAUGAUAAAAUAUGAAUAGUACUUUAUGUGUGGCUAAUUUUUUUAAAAAAUUUCAUAAAUUUUUCAAUAAGACGAACGGUCAAACGUUAGACACGAAUUUUCACAAAUGUAUUUAUU
rfam:Oryza sativa (indica cultivar-group) chromosome 1, whole genome shotgun sequence.